GACGAACCAUGCGAACGCUGUUAGGAUUCACUGGGCUUAAAGGGCGCGUAGGCGGGUUCUCAAGUCGGGGGUGAAAUCCCACAGCCCAAAUGUGGAAGUGCCCCCGAUACUGGGAGCCUGGAGGGAGGUAGGGGUGUGUGGAACUUCCGGUGGAGCGGUGAAAUGCGUAGAUAUCGGAAGGAACGCCGGUGGCGAAAGCGACGCACUGGACCUCUUCUGACGCUGAGGCGAGAAAGCCAGGGGAGCAAACGGG
rnacentral:rRNA from 1 species